GAGAUUGGGACUUUGAGUAGAAUUAGGCGGGAGACUUAUUUUUGUAACUCAUUGAUAUCUCUU
rnacentral:pre_miRNA from 1 species